CGCCGACGUCACUUCCGCUCCAGAGAGAGUCAGGAACUACAUCUCCCAGCCUGCUCCGGGAACGCUUUCACCCUCUCUGUCCCAGGCAAGGGAGCUGUAAGUGCGCAUGCUCCGUACAAGCCCCAGCCGGUGGGUGGGAGAGCGAAGCUGCAGCAGUCGUCUGCGGGUCACCUGGCUGCAGAGUGACAUCCCUGUUUCACUCCAGCACAUCCCAUCCUCCUGUGGGACAGGGGAGAAAAAUGGCUGCAGUGGAGCAAGUUCAGGGGCCAGUGACCUUUGAGGAGGUGGCUGUGUAUUUCACCAGGGAAGAGUGGGCUCUGC